AGUUAAGUUUUUAGACAAAUUUCUAUUCUGAAGGCACUCAGAUGCGUCCUCAUACCGUAGUUAUUUUAGUCGUCUUAUUUCUCCUGAGUUCGGGAUCUCAGGCUUCCGUUUCCAUGGGAAUCUAUCAGGAUCCAGACCAUUAUUUUCAUUGUGUCGUUGAUGGAAUAAUCAUGUGGCGUGGUCGAAGUAUAACCCACCCAAGAAGGUGUGAGGAACUGUUGUGCUCAUUUAAUAGUGCAGUGAUGAGACGAACAUGCCCUCCCGGACAAAUAAAGUUUGGAAAAAUCAAGGCUCCGAAAGCUAAGUAUCCCGCCUGCUGUCUAGAGUAGGUUCAAUUUUAUUUAUACAACGUUAAAUGAUUAAAAUCUCUGGAUAAGAACUAAA